rnacentral:rRNA from 1 species
AUGAACGCUAGCUACAGGCUUAACACAUGCAAGUCGAGGGGCAGCAUGAACUUAGCUUGCUAAGUUUGAUGGCGACCGGCGCACGGGUGAGUAACACGUAUCCAACCUGCCGAUGACUCGGGGAUAGCCUUUCGAAAGAAAGAUUAAUACCCGAUGGCAUAGUUCUUCCGCAUGGUAGAACUAUUAAAGAAUUUCGGUCAUCGAUGGGGAUGCGUUCCAUUAGGUUGUUGGCGGGGUAACGGCCCACCAAGCCUUCGAUGGAUAGGGGUUCUGAGAGGAAGGUCCCCCACAUUGGAACUGAGACACGGUCCAAACUCCUACGGGAGGCAGCAGUGAGGAAUAUUGGUCAAUGGACGAGAGUCUGAACCAGCCAAGUAGCGUGAAGGAUGACUGCCCUAUGGGUUGUAAACUUCUUUUAUACGGGAAUAAAGUGAGGCACGUGUGCCUUUUUGUAUGUACCGUAUGAAUAAGGAUCGGCUAACUCCGUGCCAGCAGCCGCGGUAAUACGGAGGAUCCGAGCGUUAUCCGGAUUUAUUGGGUUUAAAGGGAGCGUAGGCGGACGCUUAAGUCAGUUGUGAAAGUUUGCGGCUCAACCGUAAAAUUGCAGUUGAUACUGGGUGUCUUGAGUACAGUAGAGGCAGGCGGAAUUCGUGGUGUAGCGGUGAAAUGCUUAGAUAUCACGAAGAACUCCGAUUGCGAAGGCAGCUUGCUGGACUGUAACUGACGCUGAUGCUCGAAAGUGUGGGUAUCAAACAGGAUUAGAUACCCUGGUAGUCCACACAGUAAACGAUGAAUACUCGCUGUUUGCGAUAUACAGUAAGCGGCCAAGCGAAAGCGUUAAGUAUUCCACCUGGGGAGUACGCCGGCAACGGUGAAACUCAAAGGAAUUGACGGGGGCCCGCACAAGCGGAGGAACAUGUGGUUUAAUUCGAUGAUACGCGAGGAACCUUACCCGGGCUUGAAUUGCAACUGAAUGAUGUGGAGACAUGUCAGCCGCAAGGCAGUUGUGAAGGUGCUGCAUGGUUGUCGUCAGCUCGUGCCGUGAGGUGUCGGCUUAAGUGCCAUAACGAGCGCAACCCUUAUCGAUAGUUACCAUCAGGUUAUGCUGGGGACUCUGUCGAGACUGCCGUCGUAAGAUGUGAGGAAGGUGGGGAUGACGUCAAAUCAGCACGGCCCUUACGUCCGGGGCUACACACGUGUUACAAUGGCAGGUACAGAGAGACGGUCCCUUGCAAAACGGAUCAAAUCCUUAAAGCCUGUCUCAGUUCGGACUGGGGUCUGCAACCCGACCCCACGAAGCUGGAUUCGCUAGUAAUCGCGCAUCAGCCAUGGCGCGGUGAAUACGUUCCCGGGCCUUGUACACACCGCCCGUCAAGCCAUGAAAGCCGGGGGUACCUGAAGUGCGUAACCGCAAGGAGCGCCCUAGGGUAAAACUGGUGAUUGGGGCU